UACGUAGGGCGCGAGCGUUGUCCGGAAUUAUUGGGCGUAAAGAGCUCGUAGGCGGCUUGUCACGUCGGGUGUGAAAGACCGGGGCUUAACUCCGGUUCUGCAUUCGAUACGGGCUAGCUAGAGUGUGGUAGGGGAGAUCGGAAUUCCUGGUGUAGCGGUGAAAUGCGCAGAUAUCAGGAGGAACACCGGUGGCGAAGGCGGAUCUCUGGGCCAUUACUGACGCUGAGGAGCGAAAGCGUGGGGAGCGAGCAGG
rnacentral:rRNA from 1 species